CCUACGGACGGCUGCAGUGGGGAAUAUUGGACAAUGGGGGCAACCCUGAUCCAGCCAUGCCGCGUGUGUGAAGAAGGCCCUCGGGUUGUAAAGCACUUUCAGUGAGGAAGAACGCCUGGUGGUUAAUACCCAUCAGGAAAGACAUCACUCACAGAAGAAGCACCGGCUAACUCCGUGCCAGCAGCCGCGGUAAUACGGAGGGUGCGAGCGUUAAUCGGAAUUACUGGGCGUAAAGCGCGCGUAGGUGGCUUGAUAAGCCGGUUGUGAAAGCCCCGGGCUCAACCUGGGAACGGCAUCCGGAACUGUCCAGCUAGAGUGCAGGAGAGGAAGGUAGAAUUCCCGGUGUAGCGGUGAAAUGCGUAGAGAUCGGGAGGAAUACCAGUGGCGAAGGCGGCCUUCUGGACUGACACUGACACUGAGGUGCGAAAGCGUGGGUAGCAAACAGGAUUAGAUACCCCAGUAGUC
rnacentral:rRNA from 1 species